UACGGGGGGAGCAAGCGUUGUUCGGAUUUACUGGGCGUAAAGGGCGCGUAGGCGGCCAGCGCAAGUCAGUUGUGAAAUCUCCGGGCUUAACUCGGAAAGGUCAACUGAUACUGCGCGGCUAGAGUGCAGAAGGGCAACUGGAAUUCUCGGUGUAGCGGUGAAAUGCGUAGAUAUCGAGAGGAACACCUGCGGCGAAGGCGGGUUGCUGGGCUGACACUGACGCUGGAGUGCG
rnacentral:rRNA from 1 species